UACGUAGGGUGCAGGCGUUAAUCGGAAUUACUGGGCGCAAAGCGUGCGCAGGCGGCUCUUUAAGUCAGAUGUGAAAGCCCCGGGCUUAACCUGGGAAUUGCGUUUGAAACUGGAGAGCUGGAGUGUGGAAGAGGGGGGUGGAAUUCCAGGUGUAGCAGUGAAAUGCGUAGAGAUCUGGAGGAACACCGAUGGCGAAGGCAGCCCCCUGGGCUAACACUGACGCUCAUGCACGAAAGCGUGGGGAGCAAACAGG
rnacentral:rRNA from 1 species